rnacentral:lncRNA from 1 species
CUCUGCAUUGUCUCUGAGCCUCUGCACACGCUGCAGGCUGUCCCUCUGCCCACAACUCCUCUUCCCCAGCCCCAGCCAAGAUGCCUCAACUCAAAGUUAAUUUUGCACAGAAGAGGUGAGAUUAACCCUAACCACUCAAUCUCACGCUUCCACCUCCAAGUGCAUCCGGCUUCACUUCCGGCUGCAGGCUUUUAAAGUCAAACAUGACUCCUCCCUUUCCACUUCCUGUCCAGCCCCUAACCCCGCCUCGUUGGCCACGCCCACUUCAUGCUUCCUGUCCCCGACCCUCCUCCCUGGAGGGGAGGGAUAGGAAAGAAGGAAACAGAAGCCCAAGGCUUUGAUAUAUUUAGCUUUGUCCCCCAUGGGUAUAAAAAAAUGACCCUUUAAUGUUUUGUAUCUCAUUUUUGAAUUGAGAGACGUGGCUACCUUUCAGGGCACAGUAAGAAGGCAGCCUCCUGCGAACCAGGAAGAGGGGCCUCACCAUGAACCAAGUUGUCUGGCACCAUGAUCUCAGACUUCCAGCCUCCAGAACGGUGUAAUAAUUUUAAACUGUGAAAACAUCACACCAACUCAAAUGGGCUGCAAACCCAAUAUUAACCCUGGUAGACCCCACUGCAGGGACCUGGGCUGCCAGGUGAACACUCAGCUUUGUGCAGGGCUUGGGGGACAGCCUCUCCUGUCAUCUCCAGUGAAAUGCACUCUGAGAAUGCAAGACAAGUCACUCCCAAAAACGGAAUCACAAAUGCGGUAUGCAAAUCGUCACAACAGAAUAUUUUCACAACCACAACAAAGUCCAUUAAUACUCAAGAUGCCACAGCUGUUCAGAUUGCAACUGUCACCCUAUACUUUUCGUUUUGAAAGUUGAAUUCAUCAGAGCAACCUCACUGUCCUCACUGACUGACCUUAUAACUGGUAAAUGUUGUCAGUUUAAAGUCAUAAGAUAAAUGUGAGAAUAAACCAUCACUUCUCUGUUUUGUAUAUUGGAGCAGGGUGGUUUAGCUAUGUAAAAAUUUUAUUUUUGAAAAGACUUCAUUUUGCAGAUGGGAAAACAAACCCAAAGAGAGGUGAGUGUAUCACACUGUCCUGUGAGUAUCAUCCCUUCUCAAUAGGCAGAAACCAGGUGCCCAGCACAUAGCAGACACUCCACAAAUGCCCUAGGGAAGGAAGAACCGCUCCCAGGCACCACAGCCAGGAAGGGGGCAUGCCUCGAACACACGCCUCCCUACUCCCAGCCCACUGCUGGUUUUCAGACUCUGCCGCCUUCCCUCCUUUCCUAGAAAUGACAAUACAGCCCACACUCAGCAUCACAAGGAGGGAGAGAGGGCAAGGCAAGUGCAGUAUAAGAGCCAGGGUGCCUUCCCUCUUCCUCAAGAAAAUACUAGAAGCCAAGCACACCCUCCACCCUGAGCGCCAGUGUGGGAUGGGUGCUAUAUGGACGGGAAGAGCUGCUGUCUGCACUCUAGGAAACAAGGGUCCCCCGCGCUCACCUGUAGAUUCAGCAAGAGAGCAGGGGUGAUUGUGCCUAUCGAAGGGAAGCAACCAAUUGUCAACUAUUUUAGAAACAGCCAAACAGAAUGCAUAACUACAGGAUAAGUGGAGUGAUGGUUAAUAUUGAGUGUCAACUCGAUUGGACAGAAGGAUAGAAAGUAUUGUUCCUGAGUGUGUCUGUGAGGAUCUUACCAAAGGAGAUUCACAUUUCAGUCAGUGGACUGGGAGAGGCAGACCUGCCCUCGGUGUGGGUGGGCACCAUCUCAUCAGCUGCCAGCACAGCUAGAAUAAAGAAGGCAGAAUUUGGAAAGAGCAGACUUGCUGAGUCUUCCGGCCUCCAUCUUUCUCCCGUGCUGGAUGCUUCCUCCCCUCGAACAUCAGACUCCAAGUUCUUCAGCGUUUGGCCUCUUGGACUUCCACCAGUGGUUUGCCAGGGCUCUCAGGCCUUGGGCCACUGACUGAAGGCUGCACUGUCAGCUUCCUUACUUUUGAGGUUUUGGGACUCGAACUGGCUUCCUUGCUCCUCAGCUUGCAGAUGGCCUAAUGUGGGGCUUCACCUUGUGAUCUUGUGAGUCAAUUAUCCCAAUAAACUUCCUUUCAUAUAUACAUCUAUCCUAUCAGUUCUGUCCCUCUCGAGAACCCUGACUAAUACAAGUGGGAACCAGCCCUGUCUGCCCUAGUUCUUAAACUGGAGAGUGUAUUGGAAUUGCUCCGAGGGCUCAUUAAAAGCCAGACCCCAG